GUGGCUGUACUUUAAUGGUAAAUUCCAUGCAUUUGUUGCAUGGAGACCUGGGCUCGAAUCCCAGCAGUCACA